rnacentral:lncRNA from 7 species
AUAGCUUCUAUUGAAGGUGCUUUUGCUGUUAGAUUCUGCCUGCCUACAGGAAGCACUAGUGGAUGGCAGCAUGUAUUUUGGGAGUUCCUGCUUAUUUACAGCAUGUUCCAGUCAUCAUCCCAUUGACUCUCACCAGCCAUUCUGUCACUGACCUCCGGGGUUUUGUGGAGCAGUUAGUCAUCCCGGAUUAGUUAGCUCUGGCUUGCUUCAUAGGCUGAGGUAAUGUGGGCUCCUCCCCCAGCUGGGGCUGGGCUGAGCCUGGCAUGGCCAUGUAUGUGCUGGGUCCAGCCUGGUAGCACAGAUGUUUCUGCCUUUAUCUGGGCUCAGCAGGGCUCAGGAGACUGGUUUGAAAGGUGAUGCCAGAGUGGGGCUCUGGUGGUACUUUGGAGCAAGGCUGCUGGGCCUUUUCCUUGCAGCAAGUGCCUGGGUGGGCUCCUCUCUCUGACGACUGUUCUAGUCAAUGCAAAGUGCUCUUAAAACAGCAGCUCAGCUACUGACUGGGAGCUGUAAUUUAACUGUUUCCCAAAGAAACUACCAAGGGAACUAUCCUUUGCUCUCAAGCCCACCGUUCUCAGCGGUGACAUUCAGUCCCUUCCAACUCCUGUGGAAAACUCUCCUCACUGCUGUGAGAGGUGAUUCUGCGGCUCCUCUGCCAGCGCUGGAAACUGGCUGGCUGGGUGCUGGCUUCAUUAAACAAGCAAAGAAAAACCCUCUUUCUAUAAGCUUCUUCCAUGUGGUCAUGCUCAUUUGCUACCAGGAAAGGUGCAGUUUCCCUUCCUUAUCACCAGAACACCAGUGCUAGCACAAGGCUGCUAGGCUCCUCUUUGCUCCCCGUGGUGGGAGUAAACAAAGUCAUGAUGCUUUGAGCUUUCUUUUUACUAAGGAUCUUGAUUGGUUAACAUUAAGGCUUCUGAAAACCU